rnacentral:rRNA from 1 species
AUACAUAUGUCUUAAAUUUAUAUAAAUAUAAUAUAAAAAAAAGUGAUAAUUGAUAUAAUUAAUAUAAUUAGAGUAGUUGAGUAUAGUAGUUGUAGGUAAAAUUUAAAAUUAUUAUUAUUAAUCUAAUUUCUCUAAUAUUUAAACUUUGAAAAUAAGGUAAAUUGAAAACUAGGAUUAGAUACCCUAUUAUUCUUUAUUUUAAAUUUUUUUUAUUUGAGUAGUGUAAAUAGUGACACACUAACUUAUAUUUGAAACUUAAAAAGCUUGGCGGUGUUAUAUAUCCAUUCAGGGGAGCUUGUUUAUUAAUUUGAUAAUCCCCAAUUAACUCUUACUUUUUUUUGAAUAUAUUUAUUAACAGUUUGUAUAUUGCUGUCAUCAGUUUAUUUCGUAAGAAUUAUUUAAAAAACUUGAAAGUAGAAUUUACUAAU